UCAUUGAACUACAAUAGAGAAUGGAUGACAUGUAUAGAGGGAGCCUCUAAUGAGUUUGUUGGCAAGGGUAGUUGAAUUGGAUGAGCUUGUUGGUCAUGUAACAAGGAGUCAAACAAGACAAAGAGAAAGCGAAGAAGAUCUAUUUAAGAUUUCAACCUAGGAGAAUUAGAAGAAGAAGAUAUGAUACAACUUUAGAAUUUGGAAUACUAUUUGAAUGAAG
rnacentral:lncRNA from 1 species